AAUUUUCCCACAAUUCAUUCCAAUUUCCCCCAAUUCAUUUUACGCAAGAACCGUAGUGGGCCAAAGCUCCCACCCCAUCCGACGCCACUCAUCAGCACCACCGGCCGAUGCACUCACCGACACCACCGACCAACGCACUCACCUCCACUGACCAUUGUUAUGCCUGAAAUCGAAACCCUUGGAAAAAUCUCUGGCGUCGCACACGAAACCGAUUUCUGAGUUUCCGGAGCACUGACUUCCAUCCUCGAAGCUGCACUCACAUCCCUUCAUAGUCAUAGUGGACGACAGCAGUUAUCGAUUAGAAUGAGGGGAAGAAAUUUUGGAGUUUGUCACGAUUGUAGAACACUCACAACUUUGGACAAUACCAAACAAAACGUGGAUGCCCUUGGUAUAAAGAUGGAUUCCGACUAUGUUUUGAGGUCGAACGGGAUACUAGAAACAAAUGGUGCUUGUUCUUCAUGUGUAGUAAUGAUUGUUAUUUCGACUGGGUUGAAAAAGAAGAUUCAAGCGGGGAAUCAGUUGCCUACUAUGAUGUUAAGUUGUAUUUGCUAAAUGUAUCAUUGUAAUGUACUCACUGUUUGGACAUGGAUUUGUCAUUCUGGUUUAUCUUGUAGUAGUAUUUGCAAAAUGUCAAUUAUGCAACAUGAGUGUAUGCAUGUUAGUUAUUCAAUUAAGAACAUAUAUUCCUGUGAUAGUGUUGGUUUAAUUCAAUUAA